rnacentral:rRNA from 1 species
UGGGGAAUAUUGGACAAUGGGCGCAAGCCUGAUCCAGCAAUGCCGCGUGAGUGAUGAAGGCCUUCGGGUUGUAAAGCUCUUUUACCAGGGACGAUAAUGACGGUACCUGGAGAAUAAGCACCGGCUAACUUCGUGCCAGCAGCCGCGGUAAUACGAAGGGUGCUAGCGUUGUUCGGAAUUACUGGGCGUAAAGCGCGCGUAGGCGGCUAUCCAAGUCAGAGGUGAAAGCCUGGAGCUUAACUUCAGAACUGCCUUUGAGACUGGAUGGCUUGAGUAUGGGAGAGGUUGGCGGAAUUCCAAGUGGAGAGGUGAAAUUCGUAGAUAUUUGGAAGAACACCAGUGGCGAAGGCGGCCAACUGGACCAUUACUGACGCUGAGGUGCGAAAGCGUGGGGAGCAAA